GAGUCAGUGGAGCCAGAGGCUUGGCUGGCUGGGACAAAGACGCUCUGUAUCCAUCAGGAAUGUAGUGACCUCAUCAUCGCUUUCCUCUGUGGCUUGGGUUUGUGUUAAGCAGAAGGAAGAGAGAUUUGAGGUUGAAGUUUGGUGCCUGGGCCUUCGGUCAUACGCUCCUCCGUUACCGUAUCCUUUUCUCUCAAGAGCUAAUCUGGCUUGAAGCAAAGGCUCUGAUUUCAUCACCGGGAGGCUAACAUGGAGCUUGGACUGGAGCUGGAGGAAAACCAUGGCUUAGGAUGAAUCCACAGUGGAUGUGGUAGCCUUCUUCAGGUAUGCAGAGCACAGGUGCAAAGGAUGUUGUCCUGAUCGCAGCUUUAGCUGUGAGAAGACUACCCGGCUAGAUGGAUUCCAAGUUGUCUGGCUGUGACAUGUGAUGAAUGGUUCAAGUAGCCUGUGACCCCAUUCUCUCCGUCCUGCUAUGUUCCUGCUUCAGAUGCCCAUUUUCUAGUCCACAAUGUUCCAAUUGUUAGGGAAGAGACAUAAAAUUUGUGGCGUGUGUGUGUAUAUGUGUGUGUGUGUGUGUGUGACUGUGUGAGUGUAUGUGUGUGUGUGAGUGUGUUUGUAUGUGUGUGUGUAUGUGUGUAUGUGUGUAUGUGUGUGUAUGUGUGUGUAUGUGUGUGCGGGUAUGUGUGUAUGUGUGUGAGUGUGCGUGUGUGUGAGUGUGUGCGUGUAUGUGUGAGUGUGUGUAUGUGAGUGUGUGCGUGUAUGUGUGUGAGCAUGUACGUGUAUGUGUGUGUAUGUGUAUGUGUGAGUGCGUGUAUGUGUGUGAGCAUGUACAUGUAUGUGUGUAUGUGUCUGUGUGAGUGUGUGUAUGUGUGUGAGCAUGUACGUGUAUGUGUGUGAGUGUGUGUAUGUGUGUGUAUGUGUGUGUAUGUAUGUGAGUGUGUGUAUGUGUGUGAGUGUGUGUGUGUAUGUGUGUGAGCAUGUACGUGUAUGUGUGUGUAUGUGUGUGUAUGUAUGUGAGUGUGGUGUAUGUGUGUGAGUGUGUGCGUGUAUGUGUGUGAGCAUGUACGUGUAUGUGUGUGUAUGUAUGUGAGUGUGUGUAUGUGUGUGAGUGUGUGCGUGUAUGUGUGUGAGCAUGUACGUGUAUGUGUGUGUAUGUAUGUGAGUGUGUGUAUGUGUGUGAGUGUGUGCGUGUAUGUGUGUGAGCAUGUACGUGUAUGUGUGUGUAUGUAUGUGAGUGUGUGUAUGUGUGUGAGUGUGUGCGUGUGUGUGAGCAUGUACGUGUAUGUGUGGUGUAUGUGUGAGUGUGUGUAUGUGUGUGUGCGUGUAUGUGUGUGUAUGUGAGUGUGUGUAUGUGGGUGUAUGUGUGUGAGUGUGUGUGAGUGUGUGCGUGUAUGUGUGUGAGUGUGUGUAUGUGUGUGAGUGUGCGUGUGUGUAUGUGUAUGUGUGAGUGUGUGCGUGCAUGUGUGUAUGUGUGCGAGUGUGUGUAUGUGUGUGAGUGUGUGCGUGUGUGUGUGUGUGCAUGCACAUGCACAUGUGAGAGAGAUUGAGAGAGACACGGAUGGUGGGGAAGAGAAGAGACGAGAAUGAGAAUAAGAAUAGCAUUCCAGGAAUCUGUCAUGAGUUAAUUGGUUCUCAUAAACCAAAGCCAUCAACCCUUCCACAGAAAAUACAAGCCUGGAUAAUAAACCAGAAAUCAUGGUAUGAAUGGCUUUAAAUCCUUCAUAUUUUAGACCGCAAUCACCCUGUUUGACCCCAGAGUUUGACACAGAUGUUGGCUUAGGGACCAGCAGCCUAUUCCUGCCGUGUCCCCAUGCCAGCUGGAGACACCUGGCCUUGGAGGCUCACAUUAUGCCGACCCCACCCCAGUGCUGUCACGCCACUGCCAGUUGUUCCUCAUCGCGUUUGCCAUAAACAUGGGAGGUCUUUGAGGCUCCUUCUCAUAGGAGCAGUUUCUGUUGGACACUACCUUGCAAGUGGAAUAAAAAUGUGGUGUAUUCCACUGGGGAACCUUCUCU